rnacentral:rRNA from 1 species
AUACGGAGGGUGCGAGCGUUAAUCGGAAUUACUGGGCGUAAAGCGUACGUAGGCGGUUGGUUAAGUUGGAUGUGAAAGCCCCGGGCUUAACCUGGGAACUGCAUUUAAAACUGGCGAACUAGAGUUGAGUAGAGGGGAGUGGAAUUUCAGGUGUAGCGGUGAAAUGCGUAGAGAUCUGAAGGAACACCAGUGGCGAAGGCGACUCCCUGGACUCGAACUGACGCUGAGGUACGAAAGCGUGGGUAGCAAACGGGAUUAGAAACCCUAGUAGUCC